AUGUCUGUCAGCUUAGACUAGUAGGGCAUUUAAGGUUAGUAUUAAAAGAAGAUACUAAAAAAAAAUAUUGUCAAUAAAUCAUACUUGAAAGCAAGACUGGAAAUGUUAUGAUGAAUUGCUUUGGCUUCUCAGAUUUUUCGGACCUGAGUGAUCUUUGCAAGCUGAUACGCUGACGACUUUUGAUGAUCAGGACAAAUCUUGUGUUGCUUACACCCAUCACAUGGAUGGUGAAUUGGCACUCUCUCGCUCAGCUUUGCGCCUUUUCUCCCAUCGAAGAAACCAUGGUUCUGCGAGCCAAACAGAAGCUGCAGCAACUUGGGCAGAACCAAGUAUGAUUUGGCAUAUUAAAUAACUGCUUGUUGUCUCCAAGACAUAUCCUAGUGAAGAAAAAAUAAAAUUAGUUACUGAAAUUGCUAUUUAUGUCAAUGUAAUAUGUUAACACUUUGAAUACUCCGGUUAUAGUAAUCAGAUCAGAUUGAGAAUAACAAUUUGUCCACCUUUAUCUGCUUAAAUAAUGAAAAUGUCAGAAUGAGAAUUGAGUUCAUUAAGAGAGAGAGAGCUUGUUUUUGAGGGCAGGUGAGAUUAACACGUUCACGCCAGGAAAAGUGAAAAUACUGGUACGGGAAAAGAGAAAAUACUGGUAGAAGAACUAUUUCAAUAUUAGAUAAUAUUCAGGAGGAGUUAAUCUAUUCCCAACAAUAACAAUUCACUGUAAGGAAAUUUAUCACGGUGAAGAGGCAAUUUAAUCUAGAAAUUACAUCCGUUAAAAACAAUUGGCAGUUAUAGAUUUUUAUUAUUCCGCAGAUUUUCGGUUAAUUUUGUCAACUUUUUAAAGGGCUCAACACGAAUCAGCUGUAAUAAAGUGGCGAAUCUUAUAAGACUUUGAAUUAUUUAGAAAUAGUGGCGAUCAAAAUCCUUCGAAUUCGAAUUAAAUAAACCGAGAAUCAUACACAUACCUGCCAACUUUUACGCAUUUGGCGUAAAAUUUUAUUUUUAUAUUUAAAGUGGUAGUAAAUAUAUAUUUUCUUUACUUUUAAAAACUUAAUUUU